UACGUAGGGACCAAGCGUUGUUCGGAUUUACUGGGCGUAAAGGGCGCGUAGGCGGCGUGGUAAGUCACUUGUGAAAUCUCUGAGCUUAACUCAGAACGGCCAAGUGAUACUGCUGUGCUAGAGUGCAGAAGGGGCAAUCGGAAUUCUUGGUGUAGCGGUGAAAUGCGUAGAUAUCAAGAGGAACACCUGAGGUGAAGACGGGUUGCUGGGCUGACACUGACGCUGAGGCGCGAAAGCCAGGGGAGCGAGCGGG
rnacentral:rRNA from 1 species